AGAGUCCAAUCCUCUGUCCAGCUCGGCCUCACGCAGCUGGCGAAGCUCUUCUGCCACGCGGGCAUCAGGUGCAGUCAUUUCACCUUGAAAUCCGAGAAAGAAGAGAAAUCUGCACUCCUUCCCCUUCCCUUUUCCCACUCCUAAAACAUCCGCGCCACCCCCUGCGCCCCCGCGAUUAACCCUGCGAACGAGAAGUUUGCUGACACACCUAGUUCAACCACUUCUUGGAAUUCGGAGAUAAACUGAACCGUAUGAAGCAAGUGCUUUACAUUCAUUAUCCCCUUGAUCUUUCCAACAACCCUGAAAGAAGAUGAUGACAAUUCCCAUUACAGAGGAGGAAAGCUCUAAAACGUUAACUGCGCAACAUCUCUCAGCUGGAUUAACAGGUUGGGCUCAGUGGGAAAGGAGGCCCCUGUUACCAGCCAUCUGUGCUCCGUUCUUCACUUUUGAAACAAGACAGCUCCAAAACUGAACUGGAGAGGGAGUUGGAGCUGCAUACAGAUCAGCAGAGCUGUUGCUAACAGCCCUGACGCCUGCAGUAUGACUCAACCCUCUGUGCCUGACAGAGUCAGCUGUGGUCCCCUGGAGCCUCCUACUCUGGGGGAAGCAUCAGAGAUGUAGGAAAAUGCCAAAAUCCUUGAUCUUGGGCAGGAAUUCAGGCCAGGAGGAUAGGUAGGGGCACCUUGAGCCUUCAUCUGAGAGUCUGCCUGAGGAUGGGGGAAGGAUUAAUUGUGACAGCGAGGAAAACACAAUCCUUUAUACACAUCAGCUGCUCUGCAAAAUAAAUAUACUGCCCACAGGAUGGGAGUAAGCAAAAGCCAUAUGGCUGUGUCACCAGGAAUCUCACUCACUUCCUGGGUAAAUUUUACUUAGGUACAGGCAUCACCUGCUGUUCCCUCACUUUCUGAGGAGCCCAAAUAUUCUUCCCAUCCUUACACAGCACCAUUAUACUUGAGAAUAUUCUUGUGCCAAACAGUUGCUACCUUCAGCCCUCACCCCAGCACCAUUCACUCAGAUCUCUGAGAUGAAGGCAAUUAGGAGUAAGCUACUCACAUAGGGUGCCAGGAGGCAUCUGGAUUUGUCCUAUACCACUACAUAAACACCUGCUCCACACCCCACCCCAACUGUCCCAGGCUUCCUCAAAAAGCUUUCCUUUCAGCUGACUCCUUAUCACUCACCAAUAACAGUCCCCAAGUUUGGCUCCCUGUUGUCAUGGCAACCCGAAGAAAUAGUUGAAGUUACCAAUAAAGGCAUCUGCAAGAGCUCCCUAAACUCAGAUUCCUUUAAAAACAAUAGUACAUUCAACCAUUGUGGAAAGCACUAUGGAGGUUCCUCAAAAAACUCAAAAUAGAAAUACCAUUUGA